AUCUAAAUAGCUUAUAAAAUAGAGUAUAACGUUGAAGUUGUUAUGGAGAUUUAUUAAAUCUUUAGAUA
rnacentral:tRNA from 1 species